GCGGGCGCCCCGGGGCCUGGGGUUCGCGAGCGAGGUGGGGGGCGGGGCAGUGCAGAGCCGGCGGUGAGCGCGCGGUCACCUGGGCGGCAGAAGAGAUUUAAGAUGUCCAAGACCAAGAGUGAGCGCCAGUGUGAACUAUGGACUUUGGGUGAUAAAUGUGGCAGUGCAGCUGCAUUGAUUGUGACGAACGCCCCGCCUCAGCGACGGCUGUGGAUCGUGGGGGAGGCUGUGUGUCAGCAGGAAGAGCGGAAACCUUAAUUUUGCAGUGAACUAAAAACUGCUCUAAAAAAGAG